rnacentral:rRNA from 1 species
UACGUAGGGGGCUAGCGUUGUCCGGAAUCAUUGGGCGUAAAGCGCGUGUAGGCGGUUCGGUAAGUCUGCUGUGAAAGUCGGGGGCUCAACCCUCGGAUGGCGGUGGAUACUGUCGGACUAGAGUACGGAAGAGGCGAGUGGAAUUCCUGGUGUAGCGGUGAAAUGCGCAGAUAUCAGGAGGAACACCGAUUGCGAAGGCAGCUCGCUGGGACGUUACUGACGCUGAGACGCGAAAGCGUGGGGAGCAAACAGG